ensembl:lncRNA
UUCGAGGAAAAUGGAUCAUUGAAUGAUGGAGGAUCACUAACAGGAGCGUGGGAAGACUCCAGAAUCCACUCUGGCUGGAAUCCGGUGGAUACAGCAGUGUUACAGCAGAUAAAGCCAAUGGCAGAAGAUGUUUGGAGAAGAACUUCAGGCCGUGGACUGAAAAGGACAUGACUGAGGCCACUGCACUGAGUGCCAUAGAGAAAACAACAGUGGGCAUCUAUGUCUCCAGAGACACACCAGGCAAUUACUCUUUUGAUGUUGGCAUCAUCAUCGAGGGUGUGGUGGUUCUUAAGGACCUGGAUAAUGUGGCCACUGCAGUAGCCAUGCUUUUCGGACUGCUUUACUCUGUCAACAUGAGUUACCCAUCACAGCUCCGC